CCUACGGGUGGCAGCAGUGGGGAAUAUUGCACAAUGGGGGAAACCCUGAUGCAGCGACGCCGCGUGAGUGAAGGAGUACUUCGGUAUGUAAAGCUCUAUCAGCAGGGAAGAAAAAAGACGGUACCUGACUAAGAAGCCCCGGCUAACUACGGGCCAGCAGCCGCGGUAAUACGUAGGGGGCAAGGGUUAUCCGGUUUUACUGGGUGUAAAGGGGGCGUAGGCGGCGUGGCAAGUCUGAAGUGAAAGGCAGGGGCUUAACCCCGGAACUGCUUUGGAAACUGCCAGGCUAGAGUGCUGGAGAGGUAAGUGGAAUUCCUAGUGUAGCGGUGACAUGCGUAGAUAUUAGGAGGAACACCAGUGGCGAAGGCGGCUUACUGGACAGUAACUGACGUUGAGGCUCGAAAGCGUGGGGAGCAAACAGGAUUAGAUACCCGAGUAGUC
rnacentral:rRNA from 1 species